GUCCACGCCUUAAACGAUGGAUGUUCGGUGUCAGCCCGUAAGGGUUGGCGCCUGAGCUAACGCGUUAAACAUCCCACCUGGGGAGUACGAUCGCAAGGUUGAAACUCAAAGGAAUUGACGGGGCCCGCACAAGCAGUGGAGCAUGUGGUUCAAUUCGAUGCAACGCGAAGAACCUUACCUGGGUUUGAAAAGCUCUGUAAAACCGGUGAAAAGCCGGCUAGUGUAGCAAUACACGCGGAGUACAGGUGCUGCAUGGCUGUCGU
rnacentral:rRNA from 1 species